CUGCUGCCUCCCGUAGGAGUCUGGUCCGUGUCUCAGUACCAGUGUGGGGGACCUUCCUCUCAGAACCCCUACGCAUCGUCGCCUUGGUGGGCCGUUACCCCGCCAACAAGCUAAUGCGACGCAUGACCAUCCGUAGCCGGAAUCGCUUCCUUUAAACCCGCAGAGAUGCCUCCAUGGGUUGUUACGCGGUAUUAGACGGAAUUUCUUCCGCUUAUCCCCCUGCUACGGGCAGGUUUCAUACGUGUUACUCACCCGUGCGCCGGUCGCCGGG
rnacentral:rRNA from 1 species